GACGAACGCUGGCGGCGUGCUUAACACAUGCAAGUCGAACGGGGAUCCCGUCUUCGGGUGGGGUUCUAGUGGCGAACGGGUGAGUAACACGUGGGCAACCUGCCCUCAGCUCUGGGGUAACUCCGGGAAACCGGGGCUAAUACCGGAUAUGACCAUCUUCCGCAUGGUGGGUGGUGGAAAGUUUUUCGGCUGGGGAUGGGCCCGCGGCCUAUCAGCUUGUUGGUGGGGUGAUGGCCUACCAAGGCGGCGACGGGUAGCCGGCCUGAGAGGGUGACCGGCCACACUGGGAAUGAGACACGGCCCAGACUCCUACGGGAGGCAGCAGUGGGGAAUAUUGCGCAAUGGGCGGAAGCCUGACGCAGCGACGCCGCGUGAGGGACGAAGGCCUUCGGGUUGUAAACCUCUUUCAGCAGGGACGAAGCCGUGAGGUGACGGUACCUGCAGAAGAAGCACCGGCCAACUACGUGCCAGCCGCCGCCGUAAUAC
rnacentral:rRNA from 1 species